GCUAGUGUGAUAUAGUGGUUUGAGUGUUAGACUACCGCUCUGGAGAUCAGGGUUCAAUUCCUUGCUCAAGCA